CAGAUCAUAGCUGAGAGUGGAGCUGUUUUAUAGUCACAGGUUCACUGCUUAGCACUUUGAAUGCUUCUCAGCCACUCUGCUGCUCUCAGGGCAGUCCUUGCAUUUUGGGGGGGAAGUUUUGCAACCUUAUUUAAUAUGGAGAAGCUCUGUCAGUUCCUGCAGAGACUCCUGAGGAUCUCUGCUUGUUACUGGAAGAACCAUGUGCAACUGCAUUAGUCUGGUUUGCUUUUCAAUUAGCAGUCAGUCUGCAACCAGCAGAAGCCUUGAAAGAAUUGAUUGAAAUUCUCACAACCAAAUGGUAUCAACGUGGAGCCAAGAAGGACAUAUUUUCAUUUAAAACCCACAGAAAUAGAGACCAGGAUGGGAAAUAACAAUUCAACACCACAAGUUAAAGGAGCAUUGUUCCAGUGAGGCUAAUUGUUGUGUGACCCCUGAAGCAGCUUUGUUGGCACCAGUGACAUGGUGGCAAACAAACAGCCAGCAGCCAGCCUCUUCAUCUGACUUUUCCAAAGCAGCCAGCAGAUCAUGUAAUGACACUAAGAAAAUCACGUGGGAAACCACACGCAUUCCAAGCAAAGGCAAGCAAAGUGAAGAGGAAACUGAACUUCAUAAUCCCACUGUUUAACAUAACAUUUGGGGAAACCUUAUCAAAUCAUGCAAGAAUAUUACAAAGCAGGAAAAAAAAAUAAUAAGGACACAGCCCAGUGUUAUUCAUCCAAAUAACAGCUAAAAAAAUAUCUAUCAAUGGUAUGCAAAUGUCCUGACAAAAACUU